CCUACGGGAGGCAGCAGUGGGGAAUCUUGCGCAAUGGGCGAAAGCCUGACGCAGCAACGCCGCGUGCGGGAAGAAGGCCUUAGGGUUGUAAACCGCUUUCAGUAGGAACGAAAAUGACGGUACCUGCAGAAGAAGGUGCGGCCAACUACGUGCCAGCAGCCGCGGUGACACGUAGGCACCAAGCGUUGUCCGGAUUUAUUGGGCGUAAAGAGCUCGUAGGCGGUUCAGUAAGUCGGGUGUGAAAACUCUGGGCUUAACCCAGAGCCGCCACUCGAUACUGCUGUGACUUGAGUUCGGUAGGGGAGCAGGGAAUUCCUAGUGUAGCGGUGAAAUGCGCAGAUAUUAGGAGGAACACCGGUGGCGAAGGCGCUGCUCUGGGCCGAUACUGACGCUGAGGAGCGAAAGCGUGGGUAGCAAACAGGAUUAGAUACCCUGGUAGUCCACGCCGUAAACGUUGGGCACUAGGUGUGGGUUCCAACCAACGGAAUCCGCGCCGCCGCUAACGCAUUAAGUGCCCGCCUGGGGAGUACGGCGGCAACGCUAAAACUCAAAANAGAAGUAGACGGCGUGAGACGUUGCCGAACGGACGACGACGAGGGAGGAGG
rnacentral:rRNA from 1 species